UACAGAGACUGCAAGCGUUAUUCGGAUUCACUGGGCGUAAAGGGUGCGCAGGCGGCCAAGUGUGUGAGGCGUGAAAGCCCGGGGCUUAACCCCGGAAUUGCGCCUCAAACUACAUGGCUAGAGCAUUGGAGAGGGUAGCAGAAUUCAUGGUGUAGCAGUGAAAUGCGUAGAUAUCAUGAGGAAUACCAGAGGCGAAGGCGGCUACCUGGACAAUUGCUGACGCUCAGGCACGAAAGCGUGGGGAGCAAAAGGG
rnacentral:rRNA from 1 species